UACGAAGGGGGCUAGCGUUGCUCGGAAUGACUGGGCGUAAAGGGCGCGUAGGCGGGCUGUACAGUCAGAUGUGAAAUUCCCGGGCUCAACCUGGGGGCGGCAUUUGAGACGUAUGGCCUGGAGUGGGGAAGAGGGUCGUGGAAUUCCCAGUGUAGAGGUGAAAUUCGUAGAUAUUGGGAAGAACACCGGUGGCGAAGGCGGCGACCUGGUCCUUGACUGACGCUGAGGCGCGAAAGCGUGGGGAGCAAACAGG
rnacentral:rRNA from 1 species